UAAAGGCAGGCUGGGGUGGAUUCUGGGAUCGAGGGUAUCUUGAGCCGCCUGGAGAAAGAGAGAAGUCUGCAAUUUGGUGUUGGCUCUAGAACAAAAGAAAGUACCUCUUCUGACACGAGGAAUGAGGAAGAAGAUGACUGUCAACCGAAAGUCCAAGCAGAAGCGGUUACGGGCCUUGAAAAAGCAGCAGGUCUACAUAUUUGAGAGCCAGUGAGGAGUUUCUAGCUGAUUCUCAGGACGUGCAUAUUCAUAACAGAUAUUUUUCAGACUCUGAUGGCUUUGAAAGCUCAUUUAAGUCAGCAAUGUGGAGAAAAUGGAGCACUCAAAGGGCAGGGUUUUCAAAUGCUAAAUUUGAAGCUGCUGACGUUGUUCCCAUGGACGAUGUGAUGUUCACAAAAGCAAAGGAUACAAAUGAUACAAGUUCUGUAACAAAAGAACCAGUUUCUGGUGAUAAAAAGAAUGUACCCAAUGAUAUACGAUCCUGCCUUCAGAACCUGGAUGCAGAGCUUUCUUCUGUAGUUUACUUUAUUGAGGUCAAGAAUGGAUGCACUUGUUUUGCAUAAGGUGGGUGUUCUAAUUCAUUCU